rnacentral:rRNA from 1 species
UGACCAAACGGCGAGUGAAGCGGCAAAAGCUCAAAUUUGAAAUCUGGCUCCUUCGGGGUCCGAGUUGUAAUUUGGAGAGGAUGCUCUGGGAGUGGUCGCGGUCUAAGUCCCCUGGAACGGGGCGUCGCAGAGGGUGAGAAUCCCGUCUUCGGCCGGCCGGCUGCAACCGUGUAGAGCUCCUUCGACGAGUCGAGUUGUUUGGGAAUGCAGCUCUAAAUGGGUGGUAAAUUUCAUCUAAAGCUAAAUACUGGUCGGAGACCGAUAGCGCACAAGUAGAGUGAUCGAAAGAUGAAAAGCACUUUGAAAAGAGAGUUAAAAAGCAUGUGAAAUUGUUGAAAGGGAAGCACAUGCGACCAGAGUCGGCCGUGGGGGUUCAGCAGGGGUUCUCCCCUGUGUAUUCCCCUGCGGUCGGGCCAGCAUCAGUUCUGGCGGCCGGUUAAAGGCUUCGGGAAUGUAUCCUCCUCCGGGAGGUCUUAUAGCCCGAGGUGCAAUGCGGCCAGCCGGGACUGAGGAACGCGCUUCGGCACGGAUGCUGGCUUAAUGGUCGUUUGUGGCCCGUCUUGACCACCCG